rnacentral:rRNA from 1 species
GUAGUUAACACCUGCAUAUUUGACGUUACCUACACGAAGAAGCACCGGCUAACUCCGUGCCAGCAGCCGCGGUAAUACGGAGGGUGCGAGCGUUAAUCGGAAUUACUGGGCGUAAAGCGCAUGCAGGCGGCCUCGUUAAGUCAGAUGUGAAAGCCCGGGGCGUUAACCUCGGAAUUGCAUUUGAAACUGGCAGGCUAGAGUCUUGUAGAGGGGGGUAGGAAGUUUCAGGUGUAGCGGUGAAAUGCGUAGAGAUCUGAAGGAAUACCAGUGGCGAAGGCGGCCCCCUCGGACAAAGACUGACGCUCAGAUGCGAAAGCGUGGGGAGCAAACAGGAUUAGAUACCCCUGGUAG